rnacentral:rRNA from 1 species
UACGGAGGGGGCGAGCGUUAUUCGGAAUUAUUGGGCGUAAAGGGCGCGUAGGCGGCUUGGCAAGUCAAAGGUGAAAUCCCUCGGCUCAACUGAGGAACUGCCUUUGAAACUGCCUGGCUAGAGUCCGGAAGAGGAGAGUGGAAUUCCUGGUGUAGCGGUGAAAUGCGCAGAUAUCAGGAAGAACACCAAUGGCGAAAGCAGCUUUCUGGGACGGUACUGACGCUGAGACGCGAAAGCGUGGGGAGCGAACAGG